rnacentral:rRNA from 1 species
AGAGUUUGAUCAUGGCUCAGAACGAACGCUGGCGGCAUGCUUAACACAUGCAAGUCGAACGGGCGGUGGCAACACCGUCAGUGGCGAACGGGUGAGUAACGCGUGGGAACCUACCCAGUAGUACGGAAUAACUGCGGGAAACUGUGGCUAAUACCGUAUGUGUCCUGAGGGACAAAGGAGCAAUCCGCUACCGGAGGGGCCCGCGUUGGAUUAGCUAGUUGGUGGGGUAACGGCCUACCAAGGCGACGAUCCAUAGCUGGUCUGAGAGGAUGAACGGCCACACUGGAACUGAGACACGGUCCAGACUCCUACGGGAGGCAGCAGUGGGGAAUCUUCCACAAUGGGCGAAAGCCUGAUGGAGCAACGCCGCGUGAGUGAUGAAGGCCUUCGGGUUGUAAAGCUCUGUUAUUCGGGACGAAAGAGCGCAUGGCUAAUAUCCAUGCGAAGUGACGGUACCGAAAGAGAAAGCCACGGCUAACUACGUGCCAGCAGCCGCGGUAAUACGUAGGUGGCAAGCGUUGUCCGGAAUUAUUGGGCGUAAAGCGCGCGCAGGCGGCCUUUUAAGUCCAUCUUAAAAGCGUGGGGCUCAACCCCAUGAGGGGAUGGAAACUGGGAGGCUGGAGUAUCGGAGAGGAAAGCGGAAUUCCUAGUGUAGCGGUGAAAUGCGUAGAGAUUAGGAAGA